rnacentral:rRNA from 1 species
UACGAGGGGGGCAAGCGUUUGUUCGGAUUUAUUGGGCGUAAAGGGUGCGUAGGCGGUUUGGCAAGUCUUGUGUGAAAUCUUUGGGCUCAACCCAAAGCCUGCAUAAGAAACUGCCGGGCUUGAGUAUGGGAGAGGUGAGUGGAAUUUCCGGUGUAGCGGUGAAAUGCGUAGAGAUCCGGAAGAACACCGGUGGCGAAGGCGGCCUGCUGGGCAGUUUUGCUGACACUGAGGCGCGACGAGCGUGGGGAGCAAACAGG